AAAAAAAGCCGGAAUAGCUC
rnacentral:tRNA from 1 species